AAAAUAAGAUAUUCAAAGCAGAGAUUCGGUUGAAGGAUUGAAGUCAUUAAAGGGAUUGAAUGAGUUUGAUUGUUGAUCGCGUCUCAAUGUUGAAGUGGAGUGAUUGUUGCAUGCUUUCUUCUAAUUUUAUUCAUCAAAGUUAGGAUGGAGAGGAAUAUAGAAUAGAGAAUUCA